rnacentral:rRNA from 1 species
UGGGGAAUAUUGGACAAUGGGCGAAAGCCUGAUCCAGCCAUGCCGCGUGAGUGACGAAGGCCUUAGGGUUGUAAAGCUCUUUUGGCGGGGAAGAUAAUGACGGUACCCGCAGAAUAAGCUCCGGCUAACUUCGUGCCAGCAGCCGCGGUAAUACGAAGGGAGCUAGCGUUGUUCGGAAUCACUGGGCGUAAAGCGCACGUAGGUGGAUCGUUAAGUCAGGGGUGAAAGCCCGAGGCUCAACCUCGGAAUUGCCUCUGAUACUGGCGGUCUAGAGUUCGAGAGAGGUGAGUGGAAUUCCUAGUGUAGAGGUGAAAUUCGUAGAUAUUAGGAAGAACACCGGUGGCGAAGGCGGCUCACUGGCUCGAUACUGACACUGAGGUGCGAAAGCGUGGGGAGCAAACAGG